rnacentral:rRNA from 1 species
UAGCCUUGACAUUGAUUGAACUUACCAGAGAUGGAGAAGUGCCUUUCGGGGAACAUGAAAAC